UCACAGACGUGUCAGACCUGCACUCCUUAGCACGCCUUGCACUGAGUGCUCCCCGUGAGGGGUAAUUACAGGGCAGGGCAGGAGUCUCAUCAGGACGCUGUGGGGACUGCCACUCACCCCCUCUGCAUGGGGGGGCCGAGGAGACCACCUCAGGCUCAGGCUGGAUGCCGUCCUUCGCUUUACAUCAUUGUCCAUGAUGGCGCUGUGUGUAGGUCAGAGACUGCAAGCCGUCUGAGACCCAACUCACGAUAAGCUCACUGCGGAAAAGAAAGGGUCAGCGCCAACAGACUGCGGCGGUCCUGCGAUGUAGGAGAAGCGGCGGCGGAGCGUAUUACGGCACGGCUCAGCAUGGACGCCACAGAAGCUGCACCCAGCGCCGGGCACCGCUAAGCAGCGACGCCGCUCCGCAGCGUUCCGACCUGCGUAUCUGACUUCAGCCCGUACUUCCCGCCUGACUUAUAUUAAAUUACUACAUUUCUAAGAACACCCUAAGAGCGCUCCU